AAAGUGGAGCAAUCCAUGAGUAGAGUGGCGAACGGGUGAGUAACACGUGGGUGACCUACCUUCGAAUGGGGGAUAACGUCCCGAAAGGGACGCUAAUACCGCAUAACAUCCUGCCUUUGAACAGGUGGAGAUCAAAGCCGGGGAUCGCAAGACCUGGCGUUUGGAGAGGGGCCCGCGUCUGAUUAGCUAGUUGGUGAGGUAACGGCCCACCAAGGCGACGAUCAGUAUCCGGCCUGAGAGGGCGGACGGACACACUGGGACUGAGACACGGCCCAGACUCCUACGGGAGGCAGUAGUGGGGAAUUGUUCACAAUGGGCGCAAGCCUGAUGACGCAACGCCGCGUGGAGGAUGAAGGUCUUCGGAUUGUAAACUCCUGUUGCCCGGGACGAAAAGCUUCGACCUAAUACGUCGAAGUCUGACGGUACCGGGUGAGGAAGCCCCGGCUAACUCUGUGCCAGCAGCCGCGGUAAUACAGAGGGGGCAAGCGUUGUUCGGAAUUACUGGGCGUAAAGGGCGCGUAGGCGGCCUUCUAAGUCAUGCGUGAAAUCCCUGGGCUCAACCCAGGAACUGCGUCUGAUACUGGAAGGCUUGAAUCCGGGAGAGGGAUGUGGAAUUCCAGGUGUAGCGGUGAAAUGCGUAGAUAUCUGGAGGAACACCGGUGGCGAAGGCGGCAUCCUGGACCGGUAUUGACGCUGAGGCGCGAAAGCCAGGGGAGCAAACGGGAUUAGAUACCCCGGUAGUCCUGGCCCUAAACGAUGAAUGCUUGGUGUGGCGGGUAUCGAUCCCUGCCGUGCCGAAGCUAACGCAUUAAGCAUUCCGCCUGGGGAGUACGGUCGCAAGGCUGAAACUC
rnacentral:rRNA from 1 species